CGCGGCCUAUCAGCUUGUUGGUGAGGUAAUGGCUCACCAAGGCGUCGACGGGUAGCCGGCCUGAGAGGGCGACCGGCCACACUGGGACUGGGACACGGCCCAGACUCCUACGGGAGGCAGCAGUGGGGAAUAUUGCGCAAUGGGCGAAAGCCUGACGCAGCAACGCCGCGUGAGGGAUGACGGCCUUCGGGUUGUAAACCUCUUUCAGCAGGGACGAAGCGAAAGUGACUGUACCUGCAGAAGAAGCGCCGGCUAACUACGUGCCAGCAGCCGCGGUAAUACGUAGGGCGCAAGCGUUGUCCGGAUUUAUUGGGCGUAAAGAGUUCGUAGGCGGUCUGUCGCGUCGGAAGUGAAAACCCGGAGCUCAACUCCGGGCCUGCUUUCGAUACGGGCAGACUUGAGUGUUGCAGGGGAGACUGGAAUUCCUGGUGUAGCGGUGGAAUGCGCAGAUAUCAGGAGGAACACCGGUGGCGAAGGCGGGUCUCUGGGCAACAACUGACGCUGAGGAACGAAAGCGUGGGGAGCGAACAGGAUUAGAUACCCUGGUAGUCCACGCUGUAAACGGUGGGCACUAGGUGUGGGGACCAUUCCACGGUCUCUGCGCCGCAGCUAACGCAUUAAGUGCCCCGCCUGGGGAGUACGG
rnacentral:rRNA from 1 species